rnacentral:rRNA from 1 species
CGUAGGGGGCGAGCGUUGUCCGGAUUUAUUGGGCGUAAAGAGCUCGUAGGCGGCUGUUCGAGUCGGGUGUGAAACCCCAGGGCUUAACUCUGGGCCUGCAUUCGAUACUGGGCGGCUUGAGUCUGGUAGGGGGAUCUGGAAUUCCUGGUGUAGCGGUGGAAUGCGCAGAUAUCAGGAGGAACACCGGUGGCGAAGGCGGGAUCCUGGGCCAGUACUGACGCUGAGGAGCGAAAGCGUGGGGAGCAAACAGGAUUAGAUACCCUGGUAGUCCACGCUGUAAACGAUGGGUGCUAGGUGUGGGGGGUUAUCGACUCCCUCCGUGCCGCAGCUAACGCAUUAAGCACCCCGCCUGGGGAGUACGGCCGCAAGGCUA